GUUUCAAAACGGCGUCCUCCUCCUCCGCGCUCGGAACUCCCCCCUCCCAUCUUCUCCGCCGUUGCCCAGCAACGCCGGGCCUGUAAGGCUAGUUUGGAGCCCAGCUGGAGUUCAUCAGGGGGAGGGCUGGUGAAACUCCUCCGCGCUUUCUUCUUAGGAUUUUCUUUAUUUAUCUAUUUAUAUGUCCAUCUAUCUAGGUGUGUUAUGCCUUUGCCUGCAUUCGUAUAGGCGCUCCUCGCUGUGGGAGUGAGGCCCACAGUGGGGCUUUACAUGACAGGGUGAGAGCUUUCCUUGAGCUGUGUGUCAGUUCAGUCCGACCGUAUGCAUGCUUACUCACGAGUAAGGCCCACAAUGGGAUUUACGCCCGAAGCAAGGGGAAGGAAUACAGUCCUAUCCCGCUGGACAAGAGAAGAAAGAGAUAUUGUCUAAAACAUCACACAUCCUUAUCAGCCUAUUGCAUGUGUGAAGAAUGAGAAGGAGGGCUAUGAUGGUACUCCAGAACGUCUUCUCAAAGACCCUCCUGGGGCAUAGAAAGGACUCACUGAUUCUGUUGUGGCUGUGCAACAGUCUCCAGCAGCUAUACAGAUUGCAAGGGAGGAGAGUCUGACAUAAAGCUAUACAUUUUAAAAUGUAUCUAAGCCAAAGAGUUUGAAGCUGAACUGCAAACCAUGGUUUUCCAAACUACUGACACCAAUUAUGACCAAGCGGCUGCUGCAGCAUGGAGACUGGAGUGAAACCAAUGAAGCUGAAUUCUGAGCAGAAAGAAGGAAGGAAAGCCACUCUAUACUGUUACACCUUGGUUCUCAAACGCCUUGAUACUCAUAC